rnacentral:lncRNA from 1 species
AGAUUCUUCAGAGGGGUGAAUAAAAACUAUUUUCAUAUACAUAUGUCAGUUCUUAUAAAAACUAGCCAGGUGUGGUGGUACAUGCCUAUAGUCUUAGCACCUUGGGAGGCUACAGCUAGAGGAUUGCUCGAGCCCAGGAGGUUGAGGCUGCAGUAAGCCAUGUUUGUGCCACUGCACUCCAGCCUGAGUGACACAGCAAGAUCCUGUCUCUAAAUAAAUAAAUAAAUAAAUAAAUAUUACAUAUCAAUCUGUUUGAAGUAACAUUCAGUUUAGUGAGCUACCGACAUGUGCAGGCUCAAUGUUGUGUUAUUUUAUUUACACCGUACUGAGAGUAGGAGCCCCAUUUGACACGGACUAUGGAAAAAAGCCCACAGCCUCCACCCCUGUAACAAUACAGAAGUCAUUUUGACCUUGAAGUUUUAGAGCAGGUGUACCAAUGACCACGUGGGUCAAUAAAAGAAAAAUCUUUAUUGAUUUCAGCUGCACAGCUUCUUGGGGUGGCUUCCAAGAUAAAUAAGUUGCAAGAUAUUUGCUUGUCAUUAUUUGUAGGCUACCAAGCAGCAUCCCAAGAGCUUGGAAUGAGAUGAUCCUCUGAGAACUAAACUAUAAAAUCAAAACAUAAUGGGUUGGCCAG